UACAGAGGUCUCAAGCGUUGUUCGGAUUCAUUGGGCGUAAAAGGGUGCGUAGGCGGCGCGGUAAGUCGGGUGUGAAAUCUCGGAGCUUAACUCCGAAACUGCAUUCGAUACUGCCGUGCUUGAGGACUGGAGAGGAGACUGGAAUUUACGGUGUAGCGGUGAAAUGCGUAGAUAUCGUAAGGAAGACCAGUGGCGAAGGCGGGUCUCUGGACAGUUCCUGACGCUGAGGCACGAAGGUCAGGGGAGCAAACGGG
rnacentral:rRNA from 1 species